rnacentral:rRNA from 1 species
UACAGGGGGGGCAAGCGUUGUUCGGAAUUACUGGGCGUAAAGGGUCUGUAGGUGGCCAACUAAGUCAGACGUGAAAUCCCUCAGCUUAACUGGGGAACUGCGUCUGAUACUGGAUGGCUCGAGUGUGGGAGAGGAAUGCGGAAUUCCAGGUGUAGCGGUGAAAUGCGUAGAGAUCAGGAAGAACACCGGUGGCGAAAGCGUUCUGCUAGACCUGUACUGACACUGAGGGACGAAAGCUAGGGGAGCGAAUGGG